CCCUUAGAUGUUCUGGGCCGCACGCGUGCUACACUGAGUGGAUCAGCGGGUCAGGUUGCGCGAAAGUGUUUCCUAAUCUUUAAAUCCGCUCGUGAUGGGGAUUGACGGUUGCAAUUUUCCGUCAUGAACGAGGAAUACCUUGUAAGCGCGGGUCAUCAUCCCGCGCUGAAUACGUCCCUGCCCUUUGUACACACCGCCCGUCGCUCCUACCGAUUGAGUGGUCCGGUGAGGCUUUGGGAUCUGAGCGGAAAGAGCGUUUCGCUGUUUCUGCCCGGAAAACUCAGUCGAACCUUAUCAUUGAGAGGAAGGAGAAGUCGUAACA
rnacentral:rRNA from 1 species